rnacentral:rRNA from 1 species
CAGCCGCCGCGGUAAUACAGAGGGUGCGAGCGUUAAUCGGAUUUACUGGGCGUAAAGCGUGCGUAGGCGGCUUCUUAAGUCGGAUGUGAAAUCCCUGAGCUUAACUUAGGAAUUGCAUUCGAUACUGGGAAGCUAGAGUAUGGGAGAGGAUGGUAGAAUUCCAGGUGUAGCGGUGAAAUGCGUAGAGAUCUGGAGGAAUACCGAUGGCGAAGGCAGCCAUCUGGCCUAAUACUGACGCUGAGGUACGAAAGCAUGGGGUGCAAACAGGAUUAGAUACCCCCGUAGUCCCUGUCUCUUAUAC